UAAGUAUUUUAAAUGUUCUGAUUUAAUGAUUUCCUCAAAAUGGAUUUUAUGCACGCAUUGGUAUUUUAUUAAAAUGUUUGGUUAAUGAUUUUGCGUAUCGACUUUGAAUAAAGCAUGACAGUAUUUUAAAGACAAGAAAAGUGGAUUCAAAUGUGGUAUGAUUUAAAGUAUGGUUAAAAGGUAUGUGAAUAUGAGUAUAGUGAUUAUUUUU
rnacentral:lncRNA from 1 species